CCCUUAGAUGUUCUGGGCUGCACGCGCGCUACACUGAUGCGCUCAACGAGUUUACGACCUUGCCCGGAAGGGUUGGGUAAUCUUUUUAAAACGCAUCGUGAUGGGGAUAGAUUAUUGCAAUUAUUAAUCUUUAACGAGGAAUUCCUAGUAAGCGCGAGUCAUCAGCUCGUGCUGAUUACGUCCCUGCCCUUUGUACACACCGCCCGUCGCUCCUACCGAUUGAUUGAUCCGGUGAAUUACAUAGAAUUUUGCGUUUUACAUGACGGAAGACGAAGUGUUUUAAACCUUAUCAUUUAGAGGAAGGAGAAGUCGUAACA
rnacentral:rRNA from 1 species